rnacentral:rRNA from 1 species
UGCGAAAAGGGGCCGGCCCCGUGGCAUAGUGGCGAGUGGGUGAGUAACAGGUGCGCGAUCACGCCCUGCCCUCUGGGACAAGCCCGGGAAACGGGGUCUAAUACCGGAUAUGACCAUCUAGGGCAUCCUUGAUGGUGUAAAGCUCCGGCGGUGCAGGAUGAGCCCGCGGCCUAUCAGCUUGUUGGUGAGGUAAUGGCUCACCAAGGCGACUACGGGUAGCCGGCCUGAGAGGGCGACCGGCCACACUGGGACUGAGACACGGCCCAGACUCCUACGGGAGGCAGCAGUGGGGAAUAUUGCACAAUGGGCGAAAGCCUGAUGCAGCGACGCCGCGUGAGGGAUGACGGCCUUCGGGUUGUAAACCUCUUUCAGCAGGGAAGAAGCGAAAGUGACGGUACCUGCAGAAGAAGCGCCGGCUAACUACGUGCCAGCAGCCGCGGUAAUACGUAGGGCGCAAGCGUUGUCCGGAAUUAUUGGGCGUAAAGAGCUCGUAGGCGGCUUGUCACGUCGAUUGUGAAAGCUCGGGGCUUAACCCCGAGUCUGCAGUCGAUACGGGCUAGCUAGAGUGUGGUAGGGGAGAUCGGAAUUCCAGGUGUAGCGGGUGAAAAUGCGCUUAUAUCCGGAGGAUUCCCGGUUGCAAACAGCC